rnacentral:rRNA from 1 species
UACGAAGGACCCGAGCGUUAUCCGGAUUCAUUGGGUUUAAGGGGUGCGUAGGUGGAAUGAUAAGUCAGUGGUGAAAUCCUGCAGCUUAACUGCAGAACUGCCAUUGAUACUGUUGUUCUUGAGUACAUUUGAUGUGGGCGGAAUAUGACAUGUAGCGGUGAAAUGCUUAGAUAUGUCAUAGAACACCGAUUGCGAAGGCAGCUCACAAAACUGUUACUGACACUGAGGCACGAAAGCGUGGGGAGCAAACAGG